UAUUCACACUAGACGUGGUGAUUCAAGGUC
rnacentral:piRNA from 1 species